rnacentral:rRNA from 1 species
UGGGGAAUCUUGCGCAAUGGGCGAAAGCCUGACGCAGCCAUGCCGCGUGUAUGAUGAAGGUCUUAGGAUUGUAAAAUACUUUCACCGGUGAAGAUAAUGACUGUAGCCGGAGAAGAAGCCCCGGCUAACUUCGUGCCAGCAGCCGCGGUAAUACGAAGGGGGCUAGCGUUGCUCGGAAUCACUGGGCGUAAAGCGCACGUAGGCGGAUAGUUAAGUCAGGGGUGAAAUCCUGGGGCUCAACCCCAGAACUGCCUUUGAUACUGGCUGUCUCGAGGUCGAGAGAGGUUGGUGGAAUUCCUAGUGUAGAGGUGAAAUUCGUAGAUAUUAGGAAGAACACCAGUGGCGAAGGCGGCCAACUGGCUCGAUACUGACGCUGAGGUGCGAAAGCGUGGGGAGCAAACAGGAUUAGAUACCUAGUAGUCCCUGAGCGGGCUGGCAAGGCGCAU